rnacentral:rRNA from 1 species
UACGAAGGGGGCUAGCGUUGUUCGGAAUCACUGGGCGUAAAGGGCGCGUAGGCGGCGCGACAAGUCAGGCGUGAAAGCCCCGGGCUCAACCCGGGGAAUUGCGCUUGAUACUGUCGUGCUUGAGGCCGGGAGAGGAUGGCGGAAUUCCCAGUGUAGAGGUGAAAUUCGUAGAUAUUGGGAAGAACACCCGUGGCGAAGGCGGCUCUCUGGGACGGUACUGACGCUGAGACGGCG